GACACGCUGGCGGCGUGCCUAACACAUGCAAGUCGAGCGGGGUAGCCGGAAGGUGUAGCGAUACAGCGGAGGGGUACCUAGCGGCGAACGGGUGAGUAACGCGUGGGCAAUCUGCCCCCGGGGGCGGGAUAACAGACCGAAAGGCCUGCUAAUACCGCAUGAAGCCGUCCUAUCGCAUGAUAAGACGGUAAAGGGGAAACCCGCCUGGGGAGGAGCCCGCGUCCCAUUAGCUAGUUGGUGGUGUAAAGGACCACCAAGGCGAUGAUGGGUAGCCGGCCUGAGAGGGUGAACGGCCACAUUGGGACUGAGACACGGCCCAGACUCCUACGGGGGGCAGCAGUGGGGAAUUUUGGACAAUGGGGGAAACCCUGAUCCAGCCAUGCCGCGUGCAGGAUGAAGGCCUUCGGGUUGUAAACUGCUUUUGUACGGAACGAAAAGGUCCUUUCUAAUAAAGAGGGCUCAUGACGGUACCGUAAGAAUAAGCACCGGCUAACUCCGUG
rnacentral:rRNA from 1 species